rnacentral:lncRNA from 1 species
UUGGUUCCCGUUUGCAUUUCAGGCCAAGAGGGAACUCUGGCCUCAGAAGAACGGCCAGGAAAAAACAUGCACCUUGAGCUGGGUUCCAAUCAGCAAAACUUCAGCAAGCGCUUACUUCUGGCCAACUCAGGUCACCCGCAGCCAGGUGCAAAGUAAGGACACCAAAGUCAUAUGACCGGAAGGCUCCCACCCCGAUCUGAACUUGAGUGCCGAUGACUCAAAGCCUCCUGUAAUUUCCUCUAACCUGAUGAGCGCUCCCGCGUGGGUGGUGUCAGAUUGGAUCCAGACGUGAGGAGAAAGGCAAGAAGCAGCUGAAUGAGUGCUGGGUUUUUGGACAAGCUGCAGAAAUACAGGAGGGAGCCCGAAGACCUGAAAGAGCCAGGUAUUUGAUGAAUUUGAAAGAGAGACUUUAUUCCUCUUCAAAAGCCUGUUCUGAGUGCUACUGAACUCUUAGUUCAUCUGUGUGGUAAGUGUGAUUCCUCUUUGACAUAGCGUUGGUUUUCUGUAAGUGCCUUGUGGAUUUUUGACAUGUCCUCACUUCCAGGACACCUGAGCACUGUGCUUCCCGUGGCCCGUCCGUGGCGAUUAUGAAGUAGGGGUGGGGGCACACUCAGGAGUGACGGCUUGAUUGGGAGCUUGUUUUCCUGGGCGUCCCAUCCUUCCUUGUGGUCAGUGUGGUCCAAGGGCCUCACUGGCCACAUUGGACACAGC